rnacentral:misc_RNA from 1 species
GAUGAAGAACGUAGCGAAAUGCGAUAAGUAAUGUGAAUUGCAAAUUCAGUGAAUCAUCGAGUCUUUGAACGCACAUUGCGCCCCCUGGUAUUCCGGGGGGCAUGCCUGUCCGAGCGUCAUUGCUGCCCUCAAGCACGGCUUGUGUGUUGGGCCCCGUCCUCCGAUCCCGGGGGACGGGCCCGAAAGGCAGCGGCGGCACCGCGUCCGGUCCUCGAGCGUAUGGGGCUUUGUCACCCGCUCUGUAGGCCCGGCCGGCGCUUGCCGAUCAACCCAAAUUUUUAUCCAGGUUGACCUCGGAUCAGGUAGGGAUACCCGCUGAACUUAAGCAUAUCAAUAAGCGGAGGA